rnacentral:lncRNA from 1 species
AUGUCGUCAAUUUCCAAUUUUAGGUGUUCAAGAAAGUUGGGAAUCCUAAACAAUGGAGCUGUCUACGCAGUUUUCGAUUAUGAAGCCCACAAUGCAGACGAGCUAAGUUUCCGUGAAGGAGACCGGCUCAUAGUCCUGAGGAAAGGUGAUGAUGUGAGAAAGAGUGGUGGUGGUCUCGCCUCAAUGAUAGAGAAGGAUAUAUUCCACGCAAUCUUUUGGGGCUCUAUCCAAGAGUUCGGCCAAACAAGGCUGCUGAAUGACAUCGGCUAGAAAACACUUGAAUUUUUUUGUUUGUUAUCAGUUUGUUACUCUGUUAAUUCUUUGAUUCUUUCCUAUGUAGCUAGUACAUAAAUCUAGUUCUAAUAAAUUAUUGUUAAAAAGUUGGAAAUAUUUGUAAAUAACUCAGCUCUCUGAAAUGUAAGUCAUGAAUCUUGAGUAAGAUUUACUGCUAGUCCUUAGAGGUUAGUUCAUUUAAAUUGAGCAAAUUUGAUUUGUCACUCAAGUGUAAUUUUGAAUUUAUUCUUUCUCAGCAUGUUGCUUGACCUUUUCUCUGAUUUUCUAUAAUCUUGUUUUCAAACAUAUCUCAGCGAUUUUUCUUAUGUAGGUAGUUAUGUAAGCACUGCUUUUCAUUUAUCCAUUUUGAAAUUUCAAUCAUAUCAAUUUUCGAAAACUCUGUCCUCUAAACAAUAAGAAGCUAUACUUGGACGUAUUUCUAUCAAACAGACCUAUGUGCAAGUGAGAAAUAUGGGGUGUGCUCUAGAAAUCUGCAUAAGAAGCAAUGUAAAAGUGGGCGUGGUUCCUUUUGAAGAAUUGGAAAAGCGGGAUAUUGCAUUCUAUCAAAGAGACCUAUGUGGCAACUGGAUGUGGAAGUAAUGAGCCGCGGGCAGGGCAAGAGAGCCUUGUGGACAGGGCUCAUGAGUUAGAAGUGAAGCACGGCAGCACGAGCACGGCAAUCCUCCCGCCGCGCUCCGUCCCCGUCAUUGCCGCUGACGUCACUGGCGCUUUAUUAUUCUCAUUCACUCUUACGCCAAGAGAACUAACGAGCACACCCCAUAUUUCUCACUUCCACAUAGGUCUGUUUGGUAGAAAUACGUCCACUUAUGAAUCCAAAAUGAAUGAAUAAAUAUCAUAUCGAUGGCGAAAGUGCGAAACCUCGUAUCUCCGUUUUCAAGGCUGCAGACUUCCCGUCAGACUUUAUUUUUUCAUUGGAAAACUAGUCCCUUUAAUUUCUUGAAAACCGCCUUCAUUUUUCCUCUCUAUUAGCCGAAUAUUUCGUAUAAAUUUCAAGCAAUACAGUCGACUUGUUUCCCUUUGUAAAAGUAAAAUAAGAUGAGAGAUUUUGAGACAUUGCAAUGAAGAUAAGUGGUUUCGCACUGUAGCCGCCGAAUGGAACCUUAGGUUUGGUAGUUGGGGUUCGUCUGUAACGCACAGUAAAUUAUCAGCAAAGAAAGCGCUAAAGUAGGUAUUAUACAAUACUCAUUAUCUUCCCCGGUGCUCUUAUCCAAGGAAUAUAAUCUUUUUAAAAUUCCAGCUUCACGCUUGGUGUGCAUCAAUGGUAUUUAGCCUGCUGCAGUUUUGGCUAAAUUAUCUUCCUUGGCCCUUAAUAUCUGCUUAAGCUCUGGAGUUGUAAGUUGUAAGAGUCUGUUCUGUGAAGUUGUAAGUGUUGUGUCCUGGUUCUUUUUUGAACGGUUUUUGACACACAUUUUCAUCCGAAAGUAUAAUUUUAUGCGGCAACCGUUCGGCAUUUUUAAAUAAAAUGUUAAGCAAUUUUCGGACCGAUCACAUGCACAAAUCAGGAAAAUAUUGGAUGGAAAUUGCACAGACAAGGAAGAAAAGUUAUCAGAAAAUUUAUUAUUGAGUUUUUUUUAACCAUCGUUAAACAUUUUAUCCAACAUGACUAUCACUUUUAUGUUUUUAUAUAUGUGUUACUUUUAACACAUCUCAUUUCUAUGUAUUGAAAUAAUUAAUGUAGCAGUCUAAAGGAGAGAAAUAACUGCAAAAAGAUGUUGUCUUCAUUGAAGAACUCAUGAUUCACACUGGAAAAAAUUAGAAAGCUCAGGGUAGGAUUUAGGGAGUCACAUAAUGAGGCAAAGGUCUAAUGGCCUACAACUAAGUGGACUUUUUUCAAUUUUAAUGUAUUGAUCCUCAAUCAAUAUUACACCAUGGAUAGAGUAUUUUGCUCAAUUUCUCUCAGCCAUGUGGCUAAAGUCCAGACAUUACUAAGAGGCUGAGCGGGAGCAACUUUCAUAAUUCUCAAAAUUAGAGCAGUAAAAGACUUUCUCCCAAAAAAUUUUGAAAUUUUAACCCUUCUGUAAUAAAUUGGAAUACAUCUCUUGUUAUCCUGGUCUCUUUUUUUCUCACUAAGUUUCAAAGCAUGUUUCCAAUUUCUUUCAGAAGGGUUAAAAUUUCAAAAUUUUUUUGGGUGAAAGUCAAAAGUUGAUGAUCCCUUUGAUAAGAGUCAUUUACCUCCUCCUUCGCAAAUGAUCAAAGAUCGCUAAAAACCUGUUAUGUUAGGUGCCCUACACCUAAAUCCAGCCCUGAAAGAGCUAAAACAUAUUGUUUUAUUAUGUAGUUCUAAUAGAUCUGGUUCAAAAAUCAAUUUUAUCUGUUUGAUUGUCAGGUGGAAAAAAUUGUAUUCAUCAAUUGAGACUUUUACAACAUUUUGGCCAGUUUUUAAUUACGCAAAAGAACUUCUUAGCCAAUAAGUAAAGGCAUUAUUUGAGAAUUUUUGAGUGUCGCUGAAAUCACUGAUUGUGUUACAGCAAAGAUGAUUGCCAAGCUAGAGUUAUCAGUUGAAUUGAAUGUUCGAGUGCCUUUUCCAAUUUUUUCAAGUCUGAUUAUUUUCCGUUUUCAAAUUUUAUUAGGUAUGACUCUUUUAUCGUUACGGUUACUCAAUUUUGAAUACCUCUUGUUCUAUUUGUUGGUCGCAAUGUAUGAUACUCACUAAGAAAAUCACUGUAACAAUGAUCAAAAUUUAUAGGAAAAGAAUUUCAUAAACAGUGACAAUAGAAGUUUGAACAUUUUUAAAGAGAAGGUUAAAUCUCUUGACUCUUUAAUUUGGGGAAAAAGUGAAAAUCUGAGAAUUACAUACAGCUGAGUAAAUAAAAUUGUAAGCAGCAUUUUGAACUUACGAAGGCAAAGGAAUUGAGUCUUGUAGUUUGAUGCUUUUACAAUUUAUAAAUGAUCAACAUCGCAUGAUACAAGCUCUGCUGGAAAUCAUUAUCCUUUUUUUUGCAUUUUAUUAUUUUUUUUUCAAUGUUUUGAUGUUCAUCUUAGAUGCCCAGUGAUUUCUUGUGAUCCUCUUUUAUCAUCCGCACAGUGCCUUAUGUUUUAGUAUCUGAGCAUAUAAAUUCCAGUUUAAGAACUCCAUUGAUUUAUCCAUAAUACACACCUCCUUUUUUUCCAUUUUCUUCCCAUCUUUUCCUCUCGCAAAUUUAUCGGAUUUUUUUUCAAAAAACGUUUGUUAUUUUCAGUAAAAAAUAAUAGUUAACAGGCUGUACUCAUGGAUAGUAUUUAUGCUUCGAAUCAAGAGGACAUUUAUUCUAAAGACCAGAAAUAGGCAGUUUCCAAUCAUUCAAAAUCAUCAAAAUAUAAUUUCAUAAUUUUUGUCUCUUAUCUACUUUCAUAGAAAUGUUUUCUGCUUUGCUAAGGGAGAACGCUGUAUGAGCCUUCAGACGUUGCCAAAUUUCCUUUGAAAAAAAAUUCAGGGAAACCCGAAUAUUUUUAAUGCAAUAUUCCAGAGAAUUUUAAUUGCAAUCAGAUUUAAAUUAUCUGAAUAUUUUCAAGAGAAAAUAUUUAUAUUUCUCCGUUAAAAAUGAACAUUUUUACUGGAGAAAAUUUGGCAAUUUUGAAUGUUUAUACAGCGUUUUCUCUUAGCAGGAUAGUUUUGGCCUAUGAUUAAUUACUUUGAGUGUUCCCAUUGUGUAAAAUUGUACAUAUCUAUAUUUAGAUUGAAUUUUCAAAUUCACUCUUACCUGUGUAUACUUUUCAACAUCAAAUUUAAUUACUAAUGUAGGUGGGUAUCUACGUGUUUAAUCCCAAUACGUAGAUGCCUUGCUGUGUAUUAUAGUAUUUUUAAAAUGUUUAUUUUGAUUAAAAUAAAGAAAGAAGUCAGAGCUUGUGAAAUGGCAAAAAACUAAAGCAUACCUGUUUGUUUCAUUUUAUAUUGUGCCUUUUUGUUUGGCCAGUUUAUUUGAAGUUUUAUCCAUGUUUGAAUCAAAUGUUUUACAUAAAUAUUAAAAAGUGAGAAAAAAAAUGUGAACAAAUUCCAAAUUAAUUUGUUUUUUGCAGCCAAAAUGGCUUCAUUAAGUUAUAAACUAUAUUUUGAAAACUUAAAC